rnacentral:rRNA from 1 species
GCGGACGGGUGAGUAAUGCUUGGGAAUCUGGCUUAUGGAGGGGGAUAACUGCGGGAAACUGCAGCUAAUACCGCGUAUUAUCGGAAGAUGAAAGGGUGGGACCUUAGGGCCACCUGCCAUAAGAUGAGCCCAAGUGGGAUUAGGUAGUUGGUGGGGUAAGGGCCUACCAAGCCGACGAUCUCUAGCUGGUCUGAGAGGAUGACCAGCCACACUGGGACUGAGACACGGCCCAGACUCCUACGGGAGGCAGCAGUGGGGAAUAUUGCGCAAUGGGGGGAACCCUGACGCAGCCAUGCCGCGUGAAUGAAGAAGGCCUUCGGGUUGUAAAGUUCUUUCGGUAAUGAGGAAGGGGUAUUAUUGAAUAGAUAAUAUCAUUGACGUUAAUUACAGAAGAAGCACCGGCUAACUCCGUGCCAGCAGCCGCGGUAAUACGGAGGGUGCGAGCGUUAAUCGGAAUAACUGGGCGUAAAGGGCACGCAGGCGGACUUUUAAGUGAGAUGUGAAAUCCCCGAGCUUAACUU